UACGUAGGGGGCUAGCGUUGUCCGGAAUCAUUGGGCGUAAAGAGCGUGUAGGCGGCCCGGUAAGUCCGCUGUGAAAGUCGGGGGCUCAACCCUCGAAUGCCGGUGGAUACUGUCGGGCUAGAGUGCGGAAGAGGCGAGUGGAAUUCCUGGUGUAGCGGUGAAAUGCGCAGAGUAUCAGGAGGAACACCGAUUGCGAAGGCAGCUCGCUGGGACGUAACUGGACGCUGAGACGCGAAAGCGUGGGGAGCGAACAGG
rnacentral:rRNA from 1 species